rnacentral:misc_RNA from 1 species
UUCAUUAGAGGAUAUGCUUGGUUAUAGAAAAGAAAAGGGAGAUUGGGUGUUAGAGAUUUUGUACAUUAAUAUUAAAAAAAUUAAAUCUGACAAAUAAUUUUCUGUAUUUUACGUAGAAAGGUAAAAGCUUUUUAACAUAUUUCUUUGCCUGAUGAAUAUUUUACAGUACCAUAAUUUCAUGUGCCAGGUUUUUUAAUUCUCAGGAUAUCUGAUUUAUUGAGGAUGUCAUUUCAUUCAAGCUGCAGCCCCACAGAUAAAAAUCUGAAACAUUUAGAUCGUGAAAAGUUGAUAACCGUUUAAUGUGUCCAUAUAACAAAACAGUUUUCGUAUAUAUAUUACUGAUUAAAGUGUUUGACAUGAUAAAUGAGAAGAAACAAAUCACACUAUCUAUGGAGCAACCAUUAAAGGUCUUAGAAGACAUAAAAGUAUCAAGUACUACAGUUGUUGCUAUAAAAUAUAACGUAGAUAAAUCAACGUAGGAUAAAGAGGAACGCUGCGAAAAUUCUAGAAUUUGCAGACAAAAGUAGGAUACAGAAAAGAAGGCAGAGGAUAAGAAAACCUUUAUAUGAGUAACUAGAUCAACACUUACUGACGUGGUUUAAAGAGAAGACCUCUGGAGAUUAUUUAUCGGACGCCUUGCUUUUUAAAAAGGCUACCAAAUUGAGAGACAACAUGGGGUCAUGUUCUAGUUUUAGAGUAAGCGAUGGCUGGUUAGCGGGUUUAAAAAACGCCAUAACAUACGUCUAACGCGAACCAAUGGAAGGAAUGUUAUUGCCAAUGAAGGAACUAACAAAUUUAUUAAGGACUUUGAAAAAUUAAUGAAGAGAGAAGAUAUUACGAAAGAAAACAUAUACAAUGACAUAAAAUCUCAGCGGAAAUACUGGAUUGCGAAAACUUUAAAGUAAUUUAUCUACCGUCGAAUACGAACGUCGAAUAUUCUCAUACAACCCAUGAGCCAAGGUAUAAUGGCCAAGCUAAAAAAAACUUUAUCACCAUAAAACAUUACGAAAAGCUGCAAUAUAUGGCGGAAUGGACGAAUUCCAUGCACGUUAUUUAAUCAAAGAUUGUUAGACGAGUCAUGGACAGAGGUAACAGUAAAAAAUAUUAGAGAUGCUUGGAGAAAGAUUAUACCGCACCAAAGAGAUAUUUACCAUUGUGAUCUGCAACAUGACAUAAGCGUUAUUACUGGUAAGAGAUUCUAAGCAGAGGAAGUAAUACAAUUUAUAGACUGUCAAAAAGCCGAAAGUAGAAGCGUAUUUGUAAAGGAGGAGAAGCAAGACGAGUAUGAAAAUGCAAUGGAAGAACAGUGCAAAAUUAAAGAAUAUAAAGAAAUCGGAGCUGUAUAACAAUAUAGAAACGAUGAUCUGGAGUAUUUAUUUAAACUUUUACAUGUAUAUGUAUUAAGGCAAGCGCUUUUUAUUCAACAAAUAUUUCAAAUUCUUAAAAAUCAUUUUUUAG